rnacentral:rRNA from 1 species
GACGAACGCUGGCGGCGUGCUUAACACAUGCAAGUCGAACGGGCCCGCCCCUGUUUUUGGGGGUGGGUUGAGUGGCGACCGGGUGAGUAUCACGUGAGUAACCUGCCCCCUGCUCCUGGAUAACUGCUUGAAAGGGCGGCUAAUACGGGGUGUGCCGGCUGGUCCGCAUGGGCCUGGUCGGGAUAGUUUCAUCUUCGGGUGUUUCGGUGGGGGAUGGGCUCGCGGCCGAUCAGCUUGUUGGUGGGGUGAUGGCCCGCCGAGGCGGUGACGGGUAGCCGGGCUGAGGGGUUGGGCGCCUGCGCUGGGACUGGGCCACGGCCCGACCUCGUGCCGGCGGCAGCAGUGGGGGGUAGUGCACAAUGGGCAGAAGCCUGAUGCGGCGACGGCGCGUGGGGGAUGGGGGCCUUCGGGUUGGGAACCUCUUUCUCCGGUGGUGAAUGCCCUGUCCGUUGCGGCGGGGUUGACGGUAGCCGGAGAUGAAGCGCCGGCUAACUACGUG